GUUGAUUGUUUGCUCAAACAUGGG
rnacentral:siRNA from 1 species